rnacentral:ncRNA from 2 species
UUGGGACUUAUUUACAAUGGCUGC